rnacentral:snoRNA from 1 species
UUGGCCCUGAAUCAAGGCCAGCAGUUUGCUGAAGCUGUUGGUUUCAGACAGGAGCCUAAAGAAUUAUCCUUCUAUGGUCUGUUGGCCAUUUCAGAACUUUGGAAAUGUAAUGGCCAAUUCAUUAGAAAGAAACAUCU